rnacentral:rRNA from 2 species
GCUUAUACUCGACCGUCAGCGGCACGUGCGAUCGCGCGUUUCGGCGCGCGGUCACCAAGCCCUGACGAGUAGGAGGGUCGCGGCGGUGAGCGCAGAAGGGCUGGCCGCGAGGCCGUCUGGAGCCGCCGUCGGUGCAGAUCUUGGUGGUAGUAGCAAAUACUCCAGCGAGGCCCUGGAGGACUGACGUGGAGAAGGGUUUCGUGUGAACAGCCGUUGCACACGAGUCAGUCGAUCCUAAGCCCUAGGCGAAAGCCGAUGUCGAUGCGGUGUGGAUUUAUCUUUUUUACGACGACGAAGAGCGAGACAAAUGUUAAUUCGUUUCUUUAACGACGUAUAACGAGUCGAUCGAACACACCCAUCGGGCGAAAGGGAAUCCGGUUCCUAUUCCGGAACCUGGCAGCGGAACCGUCAAAAAGUCGGGC